rnacentral:rRNA from 1 species
GACGAACGCUGGCGGCGUGCUUAACACAUGCAAGUCGAGCGGUAAGGCCCUUUCGGGGGGUACACGAGCGGCGAACGGGUGAGUAACACGUGGGUGACCUGCCCUUAGCUCUGGGAUAAGCCUGGGAAACUGGGUCUAAUACCGGAUAUGACUCCAUGACGCAUGUUGUGGGGUGGAAAGCCUUGUGCGGCUAGGGAUGGGCCCGCGGCCUAUCAGCUUGUUGGUGGGGUGAUGGCCUACCAAGGCGACGACGGGUAGCCGGCCUGAGAGGGCGACCGGCCACACUGGGACUGAGACACGGCCCAGACUCCUACGGGAGGCAGCAGUGGGGAAUCUUGCGCAAUGGGCGAAAGCCUGACGCAGCGACGCCGCGUGGGGAUGACGGCCU